rnacentral:rRNA from 1 species
GUCCUAGCCGUAAACGGUGCGCGCUUGCUGUAAAAGGAAUCGACCCCUUUUGUGGCGGAGCUAACGCGAUAAGCGCGCCGCCUGGGAAGUACGGUCGCAAGAUUAAAACUCAAAGAAAUUGACGGGGGCCUGCACAAGCGGUGGAGUAUGUGGCUCAAUUCGAUGCAACGCGAAGAACCUUACCUGGCCUUGACAUGCACAUAGUAGAAGGGUGAAAGCCUGACGAGGGAGCAAUCCCAGUGUGCACAGGUGCUGCAUGGCUGUCGU